rnacentral:lncRNA from 1 species
CCGCUUAAAGGAGCAGCGUCGGGAGGGAUAGUGAGCGAGAACUACUGUAAUGCGCAGGAACCGGUACUUUUGGCUUUGCAGAGAGAGGAGAAGCCGGAAAUAAAAUGACGAAGGGUCAGAGAUUCAGGAGGAAUAGAAUUUGGAGGGAACGCAACCAUUCAACAAGUACUAAUUGAGCGCUGUUCUAGGCACAGAGGGUAAAGCCAUAGACAAGCAAACGCACUCGUGGAGUUUGCAUACUAACGGGGUGGGAGAGGGGAAAGGAACAAAUGACAAAAAUUUCAGGUAGUGGUAAGGGGUGUGAGAAAAAUAAAGUAGGGGAUAGAGUGAAAUUAUAAGCUGCCUCACAGAGGAGACCUUUGUGCCCAUACGUGGGUGAUAUGAAGGAAUGAAACUAGGAAGUUAAGGGAUAGAGAAGAGGAACGGCUUUCCAGGCUGAAAGAAAAACUGCCAUAAACCUAGAGAUGUGGAUGCCCCUGCCGUGUUGAGAAACAGCAAAAGGCCAGUAUGGCUGAGCAUUGUCAGCCUGCCAGAGAGCAGGAAUAGUUAGGCUCAAAAGGUGGGCAAGUAGCCAGAUCCUGUGGAGCCUAUGGGUCAUUAUAAGAGCAACAGGAAGGUCUGGGAGGAGGGUGAGUCCAGGAAUGACUACAUCUGAUUCAUGUUUUUAAAAGUCUUGCUGUGUGUGUGUGUGUGUGAGAGAGAGAAGUACACAAUGGAGAAUCACAAAGGCCCACAGGAGACCAGCAAGGAGGCUUUUCUUGUUAGCUUGAGCUAGGAUGGCAGCAGAGUACAAGGUGAGAAAAGGGCUGCUUUGUAAUGUGUUUUAUUCGUUUUAGUUUUAUUUAGAUACCUUUUGAUUGCAGUGGAUUUGGACUUGGACAGUAUGUGAGGAAACAAUAAGAUCACGAUUCUUAGAUUCAGGGCCUGAUGGCUGGGUUAAUAGUGGAAGAGUGACUAGAGAAGCAUAGUGUGGACAGUACUAAGGACUCUUGAAUUGGUGGUCAUAAAGUGAGACCACACAGUGUGGUGGCUGGAUUUUCCUCCAGCCACCCUCCAUUGCUUGGGACUUGGAGGAGACUUGGAUUUGAUCAGGGCUGGGUUUUGCUGGUGAAAGUCAAUGGGAGGGGUCAAUUACCCAAGGAAGUGAUUAUAGAAAUAGAUCUUGGAAUCUGAACUGGGAGGGAAGAGAAAGCAAGUAAAAAGUGGUGGUCCCUGUGGGAAGAAACGCAGAGGAAGCAAUCCAAUGAGUGAGGGCCAGGGGACUUUCCAAGGAUCAAGCAUGGGGAAGUAAGGCCAUCAGGGAAGAGGAAGCACAAAGUAUCUGUGAGGGAAAAAGCGUUCCAGCUGGCACCAAAGAGCUAGGGAAACAGCAAAGCCUUUGGGCUCCAGUCCUCAUCCUGGUGUGUGAACAGGGAGACACUGAAGGGCCCGACUGCCUACUAGUACUCUGUAGGUAACUGCACAGACCAGGGAGAAACUGAACGCUGAACGGGUUAAGCCAGGCAGAUACAGCCUAGGCUGUUCUAUAAACACUGGGAGACCCACUGGAUAUUUCGCUUUCCCCACACCAUGGACACACUCUUACCUAGUGUUUGAUCGAAGCUAAAAAAUAUCUUUCCUCCAAUGUUGGGUUCUUCCUCCUCUUGACUUUCCCUUUGCUGCUCAUAGCACCCUCUUCUCAGUCACUGAGCUGUCAAAGCCUCCACAUCCUUUAAUUUUUCUUCCUCACCCCUAUGCCCAAUUAGUCCCCAAAGUGUGUUGUGAUCUGCACAAUCCAAUUGUUCUGCCAUGAUGGAAAUGUUCUUUAUCUGCAAUGGUCCACAUGUAGCUAAUGAGCACUUGAAAUGUGACCAAUACAAUGAGGUACUGAAUUCCAAAUCUUGAAUAAUUUUAAUUAAAUUUAGAUUUAAAUAGCUGCAUAAGCUAAGGGCUACCUGUGUAGCACAGUUAUAGAUAUUUCCUACCCAAUGGCUCUUCCAUCUGCUCCUUCCUCUGAAGCUACAUUGCCAUAAUUCUAGUAUUGAUUUUUUUUUAACCCAGGGGCACUUAACCACUGAGCAACAUCACCAGCCCCUUUUUUUGUAUUUUAUUUGAGACAAGGGUCUCACCAAGUUGCUUAGGGCCUCAAAAAGUUGCUGAGGAGGCUGGCUUUGAACUCACAAUCCUCCUGCCUCAGUCUCCCAAACCUCUGGGAUUAUAGGUGUGUGCUAUCAUGCCCAGCUAGAUCAGGUAUUGAUUUACUCCUAAUCUAAACUUUUGUUUUACUUCUGUUUGGACUCCUGCUUAGUUGCUUUUCCAUCAGUCCAUCUUAUGUUCUUGCUAAAAUCGUCUUCCUAAGCAAUGAUCAUAUCAUGACUCCACCUAUUCUAGAAGUUAUUAGUAGUUCCCUAUCAAAUUAAGCACAAACACUUCACUCUGACACUUACCCAGUUAUGUAUCUCCCCCCACUUUUCCAGUCUUACAUUUCACCAUACCCUUAUAUGUAAAGUGAACUACUUGCUAUUAUUCUAUCAGUUUAUUAAACUCUGUCUGCCACAGAUGCCUCCAAUUCCCUCUACCAGAACCCAAAUCUGUUGAAGGCCUGUCCCAUAUCACAGCUCCUACCUGGAGCCUUUUCUAAUUUCCUCCUCCUCUGAAGUCCCCACAGUUUCUAUUUCUACUUACCUGUGGUAUAUUUUGUGUAUUCCUUAUAUUCCUGUUACUAAAUGACACUCCUUGCAGGUCACUGCAUGUUAAUUGUAUUUGUACCUCUUGCAAUGUUAGUCCUGCACCUUAUGAAAUAGCCACCAAAUGAAACAUAUGCUUUGUUGAAACUUUGCUGUUAUGAAAGUAUUUCUUUUCUUGUUAUUACUGGCUGAGAAUUUCUUCCAGAUGCUUCCCCAACUUAGGAUACCUUGGCAAUUCCAUUAGAGCUUGUAAUCCUAGACAGUGUGGGUAUACUUAGAACUGGCAGGACCAGCAUAGCCACUUCCAGGAUCAAUUUGUGGGAAAGGCCUUUAAGAAGCGGAUUUGUAUCAGAUUGUGAUAUAAAUCAAUAAAAAGAGCUUUCUAUCUAAUAAAUGUUUAGAAAAUGUAUUUUUAGAGCUUGAACUGUUAGAAGCCUGUAACCCAAGAGUAGGAUUACAUAGGCUAUGCCGGGCAAUAUUUGAUGUACUUUUCCUAUUGGCACAAUAGAAUUUAAGAAUUUGAAAAGCAGGUAUAGUAUUUUAAAUAAUUAAUUAAUUAAUUUUUGCAGUGCUGGAUAUCAAACUUAAGACCCUGAGCAUGCCAGGCAAGUAUUGCACCACUGAGUUCCAUCCCAUUCCGUUUUUAAACAAAAUGUACCUUAUACACUGAGGACCUUAUGCACAUUUAUUCAAUACACCUUAGCAGAGGCUUGCCAUUUACCAAGGACUUCUGCUUGUUGCUGAGGAUACAAAGAUAGGAAAGAUAUGAUUCCUGCCUUCAAGAACAUAUGGUAAAGACAGGACCUGGCUUUGGCAUGCAUUUUUACAGUUUCAGGAUGAUUCCAGUUAUCAAAAAACAUUAAAUUCAGUAUUAUUAGCCUCAUUUUUAGAGGGAAAAACUUGUUUGGAGAGAUUCAAUAAAUUUGUACAAAAUCACAGAGCUAGUAAUUGGCAAGGCCUCAAAGAGGUACCUGAAUCUUCAGGUAUCAAAACAUUGGUUGAAUUAAAAUGUAAGUUCCUUGAAAAUAGCAAGUUGAUCCAUUUUUCUCAUUGCUAUAUUCUCAGUGAAUAUGAGUGCUGAGAAUGAAAGAGAAAGAACAUGAGAAUAUAAGCCAGCCAUCUAAGUCAUUAGUUAUUUGUUUAUUUUAAUUAAUUAUGUGCUGAGCUGAUAUUACCGAUAUUAGUGCUAACGUAAAAUGUGGUCCACAGAUUGGUACUAAUGCACAAAUUGUUUAUUACCAGUGAAUCUUGAGAUUAGCACAGAAAAUGAGCAAACAUUUAGGAUCUCUUUUGGCAACUUGGCGUUACUGUGACAUCUCAGCAAGUGAUCAGUGGUCUUGUCUCAUUGAACCUGGAGACAGGUAAGUUCAGGUGUCCAACUUGGAUAGGGAGUCCAUAUGGCAUACUCUGUGUACUAGUAAUACUGCAUCUAAUUCAGUCCCACCCUUUAGGCUAUUUACCACCCACCUGCUCCACCUCCUGGAGAUUCUUUACUAUGUAACCAAGAGAAUGCUUCCUGUCUUUGAAGUGAAAGUCCCAACAGAUUUGAAUUUUUUUAAAAAACUGCUCUUCACCUCAGAAGUUAGAUCUACUAAUCUUAUGAUGUGGAGACAUUGUUGUGCAGUAAUUAUGUAUAUGAUCCCUGGAAUGAGAUGACAUAGGUUUAAAUGCAGGUUCUGCUACUUACCAACUGCUUCCGCAAAUUGCUUAAUCUCUUGCAGCCUCAGUGUUAUUAUCUGUAAUAUGUACUUUAAAAAGUCUAAAAUUUCAGAGGGCCUUCAUAAAAAACUAUGAAAGGUAAUGCAGUUUACAGAAACUUGAACAUGAUGAAAUGUUAUAAUAAAUAUUUUCCUUAUUCUGGAUCAUAAAAAUUUAUGAUAUUUGCAAAGUUUUUCAAAACCUUCACAAUAGAGAUGAUUCUAUCAAUAUCCAACCUUGUAAAUAAACAAUCACUUUCAGUUAUAAACAUUGUUAAAAGAUAAUACAUAUCAGCUAAUUCCAAAAGUUCUUUAUUUUGUAUUUGUUUAAUGGGGGAUUGAACCCAGGAGCAUUCAACUAUUGAGCUACAUCUCCAGCCCUAUUUAUUUAUUUAUUUAUCUAUCUAUCUAUCUAUCUAUCUAUCUAUUUAUUUAAAUUUUGAAAUAGGACCUUGCAAGUUACCCAGGCUGGUCUUGAACUACAAUGUGAUCUUCCUACCUGAGCCUCCUGAGUAGUUAGGAUUAUAGGCACGCGCCAUUUUACCCAGCAAUAUUUGUUUUUUAAUGCAUGAUAUGAUAUGAGGGACACUACAUUUAGUUUCUAGGUGUCCAUUAAAAGCAGUUAUUUCUUCAGCUCAGCUUGUCUGUAGGUGAAAGAAGGCAGCCAGGCAGGUGCAUGUGUACAUUGCAUGAAAGCAUGAGGGUAGAGCUCAGUGGUAGCAUAUAUGCUCAGCAUGUGCAAGACCCUAGGUUUAAUCCCCAACAACACACACACACACACACACACACGGAGUUAUUUGAUGGCAUAUAUGUUGCCUACUUAUAUAUAAAUUCAAAAGACUUCAUAUGCAGACUCUUUUCUGCUGAACUCUAUCCUGCUCAUUCUUCUCCAUUUCCUUCUGUGAACUUUGUCAUCUGGAAGAAAGCAGCUACUCACCCAUGCAGCUCCGCAACUCCUAGAAAGAGUCAAGGAUUCCUGCACCAGAGAGGCUAGAUAAUGAUGAGCACCAGGCAGGCAGGACACACUGGCUGAAAAGAGAGCCCUGUGUAGGCAGAGAGCCAGAAUGUCAAAAGUAAGCAGUCCUUUUUUAUCUGGAAGGAAAAGCUUGCACUUAUCUGUACUAUUGGGGACAAGACUGUCACCAGCCCAACUCAGCCUUCAAUAAGUGGAGGGAAAAGGACUCCAAGAGGGUUUGUACCAUCUUUAUGGAUCUGAAUUAACAUUGUUCUAUAACAAAACUCAAAUGUGUAAACUGCAAAUCAAGGAAUCCAAUAUAUGACAUCUGAAUUUACAGAAGGCAGAAUAGUAUGAUUAAAUCUAAUAGGGUUAUUAGAUUUAACAAUAAAAAUAUAGGAUUCCUGAUUUAGAUUUGAAUUUUAAAUAAACAAAUAUAUAUUUUAGUGUAAAUAUGUUCCAGGCAGUAUUUAGAAUUUGUAUAUCUGAAAUUCUAAUAUUACUGGAUGUCCUGUAUUUUAUCUGAUAACCCUAUAGGUGGUUAAACAUGCAGGCUCUGAAUCUAUAAUCCAUACUGUAUAAGUUCAAAUUCUGAUCCUACCACAUAUCAGUUGCGUGGCUUUGGGCACAUUACUAAACUUUCUAAGACUCCAUAUGUGUAAAAUUUGGAUAACAUUUACUUCAUACCAGGACUGGGGUUGUAACUCGGUGGUAGAGUGCUUAUCUAGCACAUGUGAGGGACUAAGUUUGAUCCUCAGCACCACAUAAAAAUAAAUAAGUAAAAUAAAGGUAUUGUGUCCAUCUACAACCAAAAAUUGUUUUAAAAUCACCUCAUAGAGUUGUUGUUAAGAGUAAAUGAUACACAUAAAAAUUUAUAAUGGUAACUGACACAGAAUAAGGGCUGAUAAAAAUAUUAGCUACUUUUAUAGGGAAAAUUAAUGGUUUUUCAUAACCAAAUAUCUUUUUUAAAAAUCUAACAUUAUUUAAUGUUAAAUCUGGGUGGAAGGUGUUUUUGCCUCCGUAUUGCCUUGGUACUUGCAAUUUAGUUUACAACAAGGUGAACUAACAUAACUUUCAGACUCACUCUCUAUGGUAUAAAGGAACACAUUACCAAUACCUUACAGAAUCAGAAAGUUUCCUAUUCCUUCCCUUGAUGCCUAACAAUUGAAGCCAAUUUUUUUCCCAUUUUUUAUUGGGACAUUAUAAUUAUACCUAAUUGAACCCGGUUGUUAAGUUGUCCUAAAAACCUGGUGCUUCAGAUUUCCAGUGCACAAUUUGGGUAAGUGUUCACAAAAGACUCGUUGAGCAUUCACUAGAUCAAAAUCAGGAGUCAGUGAUAGACCCUAAAUGGAAUUUUGUUUCUAAGGUAUUUAUUAUAGGAUUUUUGAACUCUAUAGAUUAUUUAAGAAUAACCAACUUAUGUAGAUAAUUUCAGUUCUUGAAUAUAGAGUUCUGUUAGCACAAAGUUAAACACCAAACAAGAAGAAAUUAUAUAAUAGAAAGUGCAGUGGGCUUAGAAUCCAGAAAUUUGGUUCUCCCACUCAGUACAAGUCACCUAAUGCUUCUGAAUAUUUGCUUCUUCAUUUAUAAAUUGAGAAUAUUAAUAUCUACUGUAAACAGCAAAAACAGAGUUAAAUGAGAUAAUGUAAGGACAAAUACAAUACUGGGAAUAAAGUAAACACUCAGUAAAUGCCCGUUAACAUGAAUCUGUUUAUUUAUUAGAAAGAAGACCAGAGAGGAACACCAGAGGAAGCUUAAAGAAAGAUCCGAGCCUGGGAUUUAUGCUACUUUAUAUGGCUGAGCUAAAACUCCUUACUCUGUCCACAUCUGCUUCUGGAUGAGAACCAAUUACUUCCAAACAAUGAUACAACCUAAGGGGAAUGCAAGAAAGGACUCCAUCCAUCUUCCCCAUCUUCAGGGCCAUGUGUGUGUCUGUGUGUGUGUGUGUGUGUGUGUGUACUGGGGCAGGGGUGGAGGGCAGUAGUGAGGAGGAGGAAAGGCCAGAAAAGGAGUUGGAAAAAUAUUUUUCUUCUUUUGAUAAUUCGUUAAGUUGAAUACCAAACUGUGCAGAAAAAAAAAAAAAGCAGUUUGACUCCAGAACUUGGAAAACACACUUCCAGUAAAUUUACAAUAUUAAUUUUGCGCUGAGAGAGCAAAUCCCAAAUUCAAACCAGAUUCACAAAUUAUGAUCUCACUUUUUCCAGAGUUUCUACUGAUUAGGCUUGUUAUAGAUUAACUAGAGGUAGAAUGUAUUAAAGGGAAAGAAGAGAGAAAAAGAGAAUACCUAAACUCAGAGAAUAAAAUUUCCUGUGUUUGCUUUUUCUGCUAAUAAAUGAGACUCAAGCAAAAGAGUAUGUAUUUUCUAAGGAGAAGUGAGGGUGAAUGUGUGAGCAUUUUACAGAGGGGAUUACCAAGGGAGUCAAUCAUUUUGAGCUGGAAAGCUGUAAAGAGGGCCAGUUGUCUCAAGACAGUGCAGGGAUGAGGGU